GUUGGGGAGGCCGAGUGGUUAAGGCGUUGGAAUAAAAAUCCAUUGGGAUCUUUCCGCGCAGGCCCGAAUCCUGCCCGCCACC
rfam:Nematostella vectensis strain CH2 x CH6 NEMVEscaffold_504_Cont28946, whole genome shotgun sequence.